GUCACCCGUAGUGUUGUGUCCAGCACUGCAUCAGCACCUCGAUCGAACUCCUAAAGCAGGUGUCGGCAGUUCGAAUCUGCCCGGGGGCA
rnacentral:tRNA from 1 species